GGGCCGGUCGUCUAGCCUGGUUAGGACGUCGCUCUGACAUCGCCAUGGUCGGUGGUUCAAAUCCGCCCCGGCCCA
rnacentral:tRNA from 1 species